rnacentral:rRNA from 1 species
UAGGGAAUCUUCCGCAAUGGGCGAAAGCUUGACGGAGCAACGCCGCGUGAGUGAUGAAGGUCUUCGGAUCGUAAAACUCUGUUAUUAGGGAAGAACAAAUGUGUAAGUAACUAUGCACGUCUUGACGGUACCUAAUCAGAAAGCCACGGCUAACUACGUGCCAGCAGCCGCGGUAAUACGUAGGUGGCAAGCGUUAUCCGGAAUUAUUGGGCGUAAAGCGCGCGUAGGCGGUUUUUUAAGUCUGAUGUGAAAGCCCACGGCUCAACCGUGGAGGGUCAUUGGAAACUGGAAAACUUGAGUGCAGAAGAGGAAAGUGGAAUUCCAUGUGUAGCGGUGAAAUGCGCAGAGAUAUGGAGGAACACCAGUGGCGAAGGCGACUUUCUGGUCUGUAACUGACGCUGAUGUGCGAAAGCGUGGGGAUCAAAAAGG